UACGUAGGGGGCUAGCGUUGUCCGGAAUCAUUGGGCGUAAAGCGCGUGUAGGCGGUCCGGUAAGUCCGCUGUGAAAGUCGGGGGCUCAACCCUCGGAUGCCGGUGGAUACUGUCGGGCUUGAGUACGGAAGAGGCGAGUGGAAUUCCUGGUGUAGCGGUGAAAUGCGCAGAUAUCAGGAGGAACACCAAUUGCGAAGGCAGCUCGCUGGGACGUUACUGACGCUGAGACGCGAAAGCGUGGGGAGCAAACGG
rnacentral:rRNA from 1 species